rnacentral:rRNA from 1 species
UACGUAGGGCGCAAGCGUUGUCCGGAAUUAUUGGGGCGUAAAAGAGCUCGUAGGCGGUUUGUCGCGUCUGCUGUGAAAAGCCCGGGGCUCAACCCCGGGUCUGCAGUGGGUACGGGCAGACUAGAGUGCAGUAGGGGGAGACUGGAAUUCCUGGUGUAGCGGUGAAAUGCGCAGAUAUCAGGAGGAACACCGAUGGCGAAGGCAGGUCUCUGGGCUGUUACUGACGCUGAGGAGCGAAAGCAUGGGGAGCGAACAGGAUUAGAUACCGUGUAGUCC